UAUUAUUACUUUGGCAGAUUAGUGUGAUGAAUUUAGAAUUCAUUUAUGUAAAUAUUUUACAGGUAAUA
rnacentral:tRNA from 1 species